rnacentral:misc_RNA from 1 species
UCGUAACAAGGUUUCCGUAGGUGAACCUGCGGAAGGAUCAUUACUGAUUUGCUUAAUUGCACCACAUGUGUUUUUUACUGAACAAAUUUCUUUGGUGGCGGGAGCAAUCCCACCGCCAGAGGUUAUAACUAAACCAAACUUUUUAUUUACAGUCAAACUUGAUUUAUUAUUACAAUAGUCAAAACUUUCAACAACGGAUCUCUUGGUUCUCGCAUCGAUGAAGAACGCAGCGAAAUGCGAUACGUAAUAUGAAUUGCAGAUAUUCGUGAAUCAUCGAAUCUUUGAACGCACAUUGCGCCCUUUGGUAUUCCAAAGGGCAUGCCUGUUUGAGCGUCAUUUCUCCCUCAAACCCCCGGGUUUGGUGUUGAGCAAUACGCUAGGUUUGUUUGAAAGAAUUUAACGUGGAAACUUAUUUUAAGCGACUUAGGUUUAUCCAAAACGCUUAUUUUGCUAGUGGCCACCACAAUUUAUUUCAUAACUUUGACCUCAAAUCAGGUAGGACUACCCGCUGAACUUAAGCAUAUCAAUAA